rnacentral:rRNA from 1 species
UACGAAGGGGACUAGCGUUGUUCGGAAUCACUGGGCGUAAAGCGCACGUAGGCGGAUGUGUCAGUCAGGGGUGAAAUCCCGGGGCUCAACCUCGGAACUGCCUUUGAUACAGCACGUCUCGAGUCCGGAAGAGGUGGGUGGAAUUCCUAGUGUAGAGGUGAAAUUCGUAGAUAUUAGGAAGAACACCGGUGGCGAAGGCGGCUCACUGGCCCGGUACUGACGCUGAGGCGCGAAAGCGUGGGGAGCAAACAGG